rnacentral:rRNA from 1 species
AACGAACGCUGGCGGCAUGCCUAACACAUGCAAGUCGAACGAGACCUUCGGGUCUAGUGGCGCACGGGUGCGUAACGCGUGGGUAUCUGCCCUUGGGUUCGGAAUAACAGUUGGAAACGACUGCUAAUACCGGAUGAUGACGUAAGUCCAAAGAUUUAUCGCCCAAGGAUGAGCCCGCGUAGGAUUAGCUAGUUGGUGAGGUAAAGGCUCACCAAGGCGACGAUCCUUAGCUGGUCUGAGAGGAUGAUCAGCCACACUGGGACUGAGACACGGCCCAGACUCCUACGGGAGGCAGCAGUGGGAAAUAUUGGACAAUGGGCGAAAGCCUGAUCCAGCAAUGCCGCGUGAGUGAUGAAGGCCUUAGGGUUGUAAAGCUCUUUUACCCGGGAUGAUAAUGACAGUACCGGGAGAAUAAGCUCCGGCUAACUCCGUG